GACGAACGCUGGCGGCGCGCCUAACACAUGCAAGUCGAACGGAGCUGCGAGAAGCUUGCUUUUCUUAGCUUAGUGGCGAACGGGUGAGUAACGCGUGAGUAACCUGCCCUGGAGUGGGGGACAACAGUUGGAAACGACUGCUAAUACCGCAUAAGCCCACGAUCCGGCAUCGGAUUGAGGGAAAAGGAUUUAUUCGCUUCAGGAUGGACUCGCGUCCAAUUAGCUAGUUGGUGAGGUAACGGCCCACCAAGGCGACGAUUGGUAGCCGGACUGAGAGAUUGAACGGCCACAUUGGGACUGAGACACGGCCCAGACUCCUACGGGAGGCAGCAGUGGGGGAUAUUGCACAAUGGGGGAAACCCUGAUGCAGCGACGCCGCGUGGAGGAAGAAGGUUUUCGGAUUGUAAACUCCUGUCGUUAGGGACGAUAAUGACGGUACCUAACAAGAAAGCACCGGCUAACUACGUG
rnacentral:rRNA from 1 species